GAAACACGGACCAAGGAGUCUAGCAUGUGCGCGAGUCAUUGGGAAUAACUAAACCUAAAGGCGCAAUGAAAGUGAAGGUCCGCCUUGCGCGGACCGAGGGAAGAUGGGCGGUCACGGACACGUGCCGCCCCGCACUCCCGGGGCGUCUCGUUCUCAUUGCGAGAUGAGGCGCACCAAGAGCGUACACGCUGGGACCCGAAAGAUGGUGAACUAUGCCUGGUCAGGACGAAGUCAGGGGAAACCCUGAUGGAGGUCCGUAGCGAUUCUGACGUGCAAAUCGAUCGUCGGAACUGGGUAUAGGGGCGAAAGACUAAUCGAACCAUCUAGUAGCUGGUUCCCUCCGAAGUUUCCCUCAGGAUAGCUGGCGCUCGUCGCCUACGAGUCUCAUCCGGUAAAGCGAAUGAUUAGAGGCAUUGGGGUCGAAACGGCCUCAACCUAUUCUCAAACUUUAAAUGGGUGAGAUCUCCGGCUUGCUCGAACUUAUGAAGCCGCGAGACACGGAUCAGAGUGCCAAGUGGGCCAUUUUUGGUAAGCAGAACUGGCGCUGUGGGAUGAACCAAACGCCGAGUUAAAGCGCCUAAAUCGACGCUUAUGGGAUACCAUGAAAGGCGUUGGUAACUUAAGACAGCAGGACGGUGGCCAUGGAAGUCGGAAUCCG
rnacentral:rRNA from 1 species